GCUCACUUCGGCAGCACAUAUGCUAAAAUUGGAAUGGUACAGAGAGAAAUAGAAUGGCCUCUGUGGAAGGAUGACAUGCAAAUUCAUGAAGCCUUCCAUAGUUCG